UUCCUCGUGGCCCAAUGGUCACGGAGAUCUGACUACGAACCAGGAGAUUCCAGGUUCGAGUCCUAGCGGGGAAA
rnacentral:tRNA from 1 species